rnacentral:pre_miRNA from 8 species
UUAGGUAAUUCCUCCUCUCAAAACCCUCCAAUGACUUCCCUGACAUGACAUAGGAAGUCACUGGAGAGUUUUGAGCAGAGGAAUGACCUGUUUUAAAA